AGGAUGUGAUGCAAGUCGGAUGUGAAAUCCCCGGGCUUAACCUGGGAACUGCAUUCGAAACUACAUCACUAGAGUGUAGUAGAGGUAAGCGGAAUUUCGGGUGUAGCGGUGAAAUGCGUAGAUAUCCGAAAGAACAUCAGUGGCGAAGGCGGCUUACUGGACUAACACUGACUCUGAGGUACGAAAGCGUGGGGAGCACACAGGAUUAGAUACCCUGGUAGUCCACGCCGUAAACAGAUGUCA
rnacentral:rRNA from 1 species